GACGAACGCUGGCGGCGUGCUUAACACAUGCAAGUCGAACGGAAAGGCUCCAGCUUGCUGGAGUGCUCGAGUGGCGAACGGGUGAGUAACACGUGGGUAAUCUGCCCUGCACUCUGGGAUAAGCCUGGGAAACUGGGUCUAAUACUGGAUAUGACCUUUCUCCUUAUGGGGUUUGGUGGAAAGUUUUUCGGUGUAGGAUGAGCCCGCGGCCUAUCAGCUUGUUGGUGGGGUGAUGGCCUACCAAGGCGAUGACGGGUAGCCGGCCUGAGAGGGUGAUCGGCCACAUUGGGACUGAGAUACGGCCCAGACUCCUACGGGAGGCAGCAGUGGGGAAUAUUGCACAAUGGGCGGAAGCCUGAUGCAGCGACGCCGCGUGAGGGAUGACGGCCUUCGGGUUGUAAACCUCUUUCAGCAGGGACGAAGCGUAAGUGACGGUACCUGCAGAAGAAGCACCGGCUAACUACGUG
rnacentral:rRNA from 1 species